rnacentral:tRNA from 1 species
UCCCUGGUGGCUCAGACGGUAAAGUGUCUGCCUACAAUGCAGGAGACCCGGGUUCGAUCCCUGGGUUGGGAA